AUUGAACGCUGGCGGCAGGCCUAACACACGCAAGUCGGACGGUAGCACAGAGGAGCUUGCUCCUCGGGUGACGAGUGGCGGACGGGUGAGUAAUGUCUGGGGAUCUGCCCGAUAGAGGGGGAUAACCACUGGAAACGGUGGCUAAUACCGCAUAACGUCGCAAGACCAAAGAGGGGGACCUUCGGGCCUCUCACUAUCGGAUGAACCCAGAUGGGAUUAGCUAGUAGGCGGGGUAACGGCCCACCUAGGCGACGAUCCCUAGCUGGUCUGAAAGGAUGACCAGCCACACUGGAACUGAGACACGGUCCAGACUCCUACGGGAGGCAGCAGUGGGGAAUAUUGCACAAUGGGCGCAAGCCUGAUGCAGCCAUGCCGCGUGUAUGAAGAAGGCCUUCGGGUUGUAAAGUACUUUCAGCGGGGAGGAAGGCGAUGUGGUUAAUAACCGCAUUGAUUGACGUUACCCGCAGAAGAAGCACCGGCUAACUCCGUGCCAGCAGCCGCCGUAA
rnacentral:rRNA from 1 species